rnacentral:rRNA from 1 species
CCUACGGGUGGCAGCAGUGGGGGAUAUUGGACAAUGGGGGAAACCCUGAUCCAGCGACGCCGCGUGAGUGAAGAAGUAUUUCGGUAUGUAAAGCUCUAUCAGCAGGGAAGAAAGAAAUGACGGUACCUGAGUAAGAAGCCCCGGCUAACUACGUGCCAGCAGCCGCGGUAAUACGUAGGGGGCAAGCGUUAUCCGGAAUUACUGGGUGUAAAGGGAGCGUAGACGGUAAUGCAAGUCUGGAGGGAAAGGCGGGGGCUCAACCCCCGGACUGCUCUGGAAACUGUGUAACUGGAGUGCAGGAGAGGCAGGCGGAAUUCCUAGUGUAGCGGUGAAAUGCGUAGAUAUUAGGAGGAACACCAGUGGCGAAGGCGGCCUGCUGGACUGUAACUGACGUUGAGGCUCGAAAGCGUGGGGAGCAAACAGGAUUAGAUACCCGGGUAGUC